rnacentral:tRNA from 1 species
GGUCACUUAGCUCAGUUGGUUAGAGCGCCGCGUUCACAUCGCGGAGGCCAGUGGUUCAAAUCCACUAGUGACUACUA